UAUUGGCAUUGUCGCGUACCGCCUCCGCCCCCACCCCUCGGCCGACGCUGCGUAGCGAUCGACAUGCGAUCGACCAUUCCAGUGUCGAUCGCCUCAGAGAUGAAGUGGGAGCCGUUCAAGGGUUCCGGUGCCAUCUCUGUCGGCUCGUGAAUUCCUCUUCCCCUCUCCUCUCUCUCCCUGCCUCAUUGUUCCUCACUUUCUUUAGGGUUUUCUCCUCGCCCGGCGCUGCGCAUCGAUCGAUCAUUCCGACGCCGGCCGCCUCAACGAUGAAGUGGGAGCCGUCCAAGGUUCCGGUGUCACCCUGACAGCUCUAUGGAGCUUUCGUGCCCUAAGAGCUAUCUCGUGGUCGCUUCGGUCGAUCCUGAGCCAUGGACCUCCGUGGACGAUCUCGUGUUCGGGCUCAAAGCCCUAGAGUCACGGCUCGGAUAUAAUUCUCCACCGGUGCCUCUCAAGCAACCCCCUGAAUGGUCUCUCCUCGAUAAAAGGCAAUGGAUGUGAGAGACAAAACGAGGCUGGGAGGGAGCACGGCGGCUGGCUGGAGGAUCUCCUGCCCUGAUUUUGAUUUCAGGCAGGAGUGGAGCUACUGGUUAACCUAAAUGCCAUUGAGAAGUUUUAGUCCCUUUGUCUCUGCCAAAAGUAUCUGAAGCCAGGGCUUUUCAAGUCUUCCAUCGGACUCGGUAUACUAAAACCAGAUCCUGCUCAUUGAUGUCAACAUUUUUCUCCCUCUUGGUUUGUCAUUUGAACUGACCAACAAUUCAGUUGGCUUAUCUGAAUGGUGCAUCUUGCAUUUUGUGUUCUGCAGAGGUGUCUUUCCUAAAAAAAGGACUACCCAUCAGAGAUAUUAUAUUUUCUAGCUAAAUAGGACUUGUUCAAUUGCCAGAAUCACCAGUCCAAUGAUUAAAUGAAUGCAUGUUUGUACUA